AAAAAGAAAACGGAGGAAGGGGCCACCAGCCAAGGAAUGAGGACAGCCUUCAGAACCUGGAAAAGUCUCCCACAGACCCCCCAAAAGGAGCACACCCCUCCCUGCAAUGGAUUCCAGCUCACUAGUGGGCCCACCGUUGGUCUCUGACCCAGCAGCACUAGAAGGCCUCCGUUUCUUGCCUAUAUUAUGGGAUGCAGGACGAGAUGACCUCCGAGACCACCCCUGGCCUUAACGUUCUGCAUGUCUGUGAUUGGGCCUCAGCGUUCAUCUUCCUCCUGGAUCUUUGAUUCAAUCGGGAUGAGUCAGGCACUGACAGCCGCCUUGGGCCCUGAGCGCCUGCUCGGAGAGCAGUGCCAGGGCCCAGAAGAUCAGCUCAGAUCCUUGCUGGGUCACAUGCGUGGGUGUCAGCACUUCCUGCCUAGACUUUUCCCUUUGACUCAUGCUUCUCUUGUGUUCGGGAUCCCUGUUCCUCAGCCUUGUUCAUCUGGAAAGGCCAGUGUACAGGUGCACGGGUGGAGAUCGGCCAAGGCAGGUGCGUGCACAGCUUCUCUCACUGGAGAGCAGGAAGAAGGCUGCUGAGGAGGUGGCACUUUACGUAUCUUCCUGAAGACAGCCGAGGAGGCCGCCCCGAGGAUCCUGCAGAACUGAGCUGCCGGAACCAGCCCACACGGCUCCCAGGACUCACCUGCGUCUCAGCUGUCAGAGGAGGAAGUGGGAGCCAAAGAAGGAGCAUGUGCCAAAAUAAUGAUAAGGAGUCGAAUACAGCAGCCACGGUGGCAAAUGCCUCUAAUCUCCCCGGUUCCGGAAGCUGAGGCAGGAGGAUCCAAGUUCCAACUUAGCAAGACCCUAUCUCAAGGGCAAUGAGAGCCUGCAUCUACACAGACCAGAGCAGCAGCAUUCAGCAGCGGGUGAGCAGUAGCCCAAGGGAGGCAGGGCGGUCCGCAGGGCCAGGACCAACACCCUGCAAAGCCUUACGGUGCAGACCGCGCUGCGACCAGGAGAGACUGCAGACAUCAUGUCUCGAAAUGGAUGCACCUCAGGAUAACUUGACUGAGGAAGAGAAGCCAGACCAAAUAAAGACAAGGAGAGCCGACAUGGCUGGGCACACCUGUAAUCGUAGCAUUCUGAGAGGCUGAGGCAGGAGGACUGCAAGUUUGAGCCCAAUCUGGGGAAUUCAGCGAUUUAGUGAGACCCUGUCUCAAAAUUUAAAACAUACAC
rnacentral:lncRNA from 1 species